rfam:Clostridium sulfidigenes strain 113A c30, whole genome shotgun sequence.
GGCAGAUUAGAAGUUCGUGCGUUAAGUGCUGGGUGAACAGGGAAUUGUCACCAGACGAAAAGGAAACUUGCGGUACUUACUUCGAUUCCCACUGCU